ACAAACCAUCCUACUAGAUGGAGCGGAACCAGAGAAAAAGCUUCUGCUUCAUGGAAGCCUCUGAUUACUCCCAACAACAAAGUCAAGGCAGAGCUCAGGUACCAGGAAUUAAGUUUCUGAAGGAGAAGAGGGCAAGGUUCUAUAUUAUCCGCCAAUGUAUCUACAAGUUACUUUGUUGGAAGGAACGUGGAGACUGAAUAUGACAGUAAUAUUGAACAGUCAUGCUGCUACAGUUCUCAUUAUAAAUUUAUCCUUGUACAAAACUGUAGUAGUCUUCUAAAUUACAAAUCAUCGGAGUGCAUGGGGUUGGGGGGUAAGAGAGAUUGCAAUGUAAUUUUUCAAGG
rnacentral:lncRNA from 1 species